rnacentral:lncRNA from 1 species
AGGUUAGAGAAAGAUAACCUAUGAUUAUGACUCUUUUAAGAUAUAAGCAAACACAAAGACUACUCAAGACAUAUCUUAUACAAGUGGGUUAUGUGGCACUAUCUAUCAUAUAUCCUUAGGAUGUUGAAAAAUGGAAUAGUUCUCAAAGCAAAGUCAUCUACCCAUCUUCAUAUCCUUAGUACUUAGAGUUUUUGAUAAAUGUUUUAAAAAAGCACAUAGUUCAUCCUUACUCCUCUAAUAGUACUCUGAAGUCACUCAGUAAGUAUAGGAUUCCUCACCAAGGCAUAGCAAAAGAUUGCCUUCUUUUGUUUCAUCCGACAUCUAUUAGGCCUAUGGGGCUCAGGUAGGGAGAAACAGGAUAUCAUACUUGCAUUGUAUCUAUUGUAAAGUCAAAACAAGGAUCCAAGGAGAAGAAUGUCAUAAUCCUAGAUCAAGAUGUGUAAGUGUGUGAAAAAUGAUUAGAAUAGAAUGAUCCUCUAUUUGAUAAGAUCUCUCUCUCUAUUUUAUUUGAGACAUGGCUAGCCUUUUUUUCUUUUCUUUUUUUUUCAAAAGCAAUGGACCUUCAUGUGCCCACUUUUUUCACUAAGCAUAGCCUUUGUGUCUCAUCUUAUAACCAAUACUUAGAGAGAGAUAUUCUAAACCUUAAAACAUGGAGCAUCUAUAUGGAGGAAAUGGAUGACAUGUUUUUGUGUACUUCUAAUGUAGAAGCAGCAUAUAUAUGUCGUGUGUGUGUGAUCUAAAUCUUGGGACUAUGACAUAAUUCUCAACUAGGGUCACAAGGUUUGACUAUACUGAACACAAGUACAAGUAGCAUAUAUAGAAGGGUUUUGAACAAGGUAUGAACAUAUAUGGCUGUCGUAGGAAUUCUCUUACUAUUGAGGAGUAAGUGACGCUAUGGUGUUAUGAUAUUUUCAAAAAUAAAUCUCUAAGCACUUUGAAUAGAAAGGGUAUGAAUCAUGAGCUAAGAACUAUAUCACAAUUUGUCAACAACCAAGUCAAUAUGAUAUUCCUAUCAAGAUAUGUGACCCACAAGUAUAAGCAUAUGCAAGAAUUAGACGUUGUGACACUUUUACCCUUUUAAUGUCAUGAAUCAUGUCACACUUUUAAUGUCAUAAAUCAUAGAUCCAAGUCUUCUUGUUUUUAUUUUUGUUUUAUUUUAUCUAAUAAAGCAAACAAGAGACAGAAGUAAUAAAAAUGAAAGAACAGAGGGAGAGUAGGAGUGGCAAACCAGUCAGAAGGCAGGUAGAUGUUGAGUGGAUGCUGACUAGUGGGUCCAGGGCUCCAAGGUGGGGUCGGCU